rnacentral:rRNA from 1 species
UGGUGUUGGAAAGCUUUUGCGGUUUUGGAUGGACUCGCGGCCUAUCAGCUUGUUGGUGGGGUAAUGGCCUACCAAGGCGACGACGGGUAGCCGGCCUGAGAGGGUGACCGGCCACACUGGGACUGAGACACGGCCCAGACUCCUACGGGAGGCAGCAGUGGGGAAUAUUGCACAAUGGGCGGAAGCCUGAUGCAGCGACGCCGCGUGAGGGAUGACGGCCUUCGGGUUGUAAACCUCUUUCAUAGGAAGAAGCGAAAGUGACGGUACCUGCAGAAGAAGCGCCGGCUAACUACGUGCCAGCAGCCGCGGUAAUACGUAGGGCGCAAGCGUUAUCCGGAAUUAUUGGGCGUAAAGAGCUCGUAGGCGGUUUGUCGCGUCUGCUGUGAAAGACCGGGGCUCAACUCCGGUUCUGCAGUGGUACGGCCAGACUAGAGUGAUGUAGGGAGACUGGAUUCCUGUGUAGCGGUGAAUGCGCAGAUAUCAGGAGGACACCGAUGGCGAAGGCAGCUCUCUGGGCAUUAACUGACGCUGAGGAGCGAAAGCAUGGGGAGCGAACAGGAUUAGAUACCCUGCUAGUCCAUGCCCGUAAACGUUGG